ensembl:miRNA
AGUGGUGUCUGUCCAGUGCCCUUUUUAUGUUGUACUACUAGUGAUCAUACACAAAAAGCAGUGCAAUGUUAAAAGGGCAUUGGCCAGUGAUACUGUC